UAAUAUGAAAGAAUAAAUUCUUUUUAAUUUCGACUUAAAUAAUAGAUUAUAUAAAUUAAUCCAUAUUAA
rnacentral:tRNA from 1 species